rnacentral:lncRNA from 10 species
ACAAAUAAUACAUUAUUAUUAACUAUGGUGACCAUGAUAAACAUUAGGUCUUCAGAACUUACUCAUCUGAUAAAUGAACUUCGUACCCUUUGACCAACAUCUCAUCAUUUUUCCACUCCCUGCCCCAGUUCCCAUAGACCUCUAGGUCAUUUGUAUGUCCUCUUUGGAAAAAUGUCUAUUCAGAUCCUUUGCAUUUUUAAAUUGGGUUAUUUGCUUUUUUUUUUUUUUUUUGGCUCUUGACUUGUAUGAGUUCCCUAUGUAUUUUGGACAUUAGCCCCUUAUGUGAUAUAGGAUUUGCAAAUGUUUCCCCUCAUUUUGUCUCAGGUUGUUUCCACUCUGUCAAUUGUUUCCUACACAGAAGCUUUUUUAGUUUGAUGCAAUCCCAUUUCUCUAUUUUUGCUUUCCUUGCCUGUGCUUCUAGUGUCACAUCCAAAAAUCAUUGCCAAGACCAAUGUCAUGGAUCUUUUCCCCAUGUGAUUUUUUUAAAGAGUUUUGUGGUUUCAGUUCUCAUGUUUAAAUCUCUAAUCUAUUUUGAGCUGAUUUGUAUGUGUAAGCUAAGAAUCUUAAUUUUUUUUUAAGUGUUGAUGUUACGUUUUCC